rnacentral:rRNA from 1 species
AAUGAACGCUGGCGGCGUGCCUAAUACAUGCAAGUCGAGCGAACAGACGAGGAGCUUGCUCCUCUGACGUUAGCGGCGGACGGGUGAGUAACACGUGGAUAACCUACCUAUAAGACUGGGAUAACUUCGGGAAACCGGAGCUAAUACCGGAUAAUAUAUUGAACCGCAUGGUUCAAUAGUGAAAGACGGUUUUGCUGUCACUUAUAGAUGGAUCCGCGCCGCAUUAGCUAGUUGGUAAGGUAACGGCUUACCAAGGCGACGAUGCGUAGCCGACCUGAGAGGGUGAUCGGCUACACUGGAACUGAGACACGGUCCAGACUCCUACGGGAGGCAGCAGUAGGGAAUCUUCCGCAAUGGGCGAAAGCCUGACGGAGCAACGCCGCGUGAGUGAUGAAGGUCUUCGGAUCGUAAAACUCUGUUAUUAGGGAAGAACAAAUGUGUAAGUAACUAUGCACGUCUUGACGGUACCUAAUCAGAAAGCCACGGCUAACUACGUG